rnacentral:tRNA from 1 species
GCGCGCAUAGCCAAGCGGUCAAAGGCGUAAGGCUUAAGACCUUAUCUCGUAGGAGUUUCAAGGGUUCGAAUCCCUUUGCGUGCA